UACGUAGGGGGCUAGCGUUGUCCGGAAUCAUUGGGCGUAAAGCGCGUGUAGGCGGCCCGGUAAGUCCGCUGUGAAAGUCGGGGGCUCAACCCUCGAAAGCCGGUGGAUACUGUCGGGCUCGAGUGCGGAAGGAGGCGAGUGGAAUUCCUGGUGUAGCGGUGAAAUGCGCAGAUAUCAGGAGGAACACCGAUUGUCGAAGG
rnacentral:rRNA from 1 species